CAGGGAGGGAAGGGAAGCUUUGCUGUCUGCUCCCACACGGCCAGUGCAGCUCUCCAUGCCCCGGGGGCUCUGCCAUCCGCAGCCCCCAUCCACAGCCAGCCAGACCAGGAUCGAAUUUGCCUCGGUGCUGAUGAGGUCUGGCAGUGUCUGACUCAGGCUGGACCCGACGUGGUGUGGGAAGGGGGAAGAGGGAGCUGGCAAGUAGGGAAGAUGCUCACGGGGAUGGGCAACCAGGCAGGGUCUCAAGGACCCCUCCCCUGAUGGCUGUUGUGUGCAAUUUCUCUGGCCAGAUCCACCUCUCACCCUUUAUUCCAGAGCCAUGGAGCUGGGACCAGACCAGUGGCUCACAGGAGGUGUUCCAUAUACAUCCCAACGCCGGGAGAACUGUUUAUAAUCCUUUUCAAGGGAUCACUUUGCUCAGUCCUCUUCCCAUAACAAAUCAGAAGGAUUAGGGAUCUGCCUGCUGACUAUUGGCUUCGUCAUGCACUGAGAGGGUGCUGGGGAUUUAAAUCCGAGUUUCAAUUGCCCAACAGAGACACAGGUGAGUGUCUGUGCUCUCUGAAAUGGUUUUAAUGUCUCUGUGUCACCUGGGUCUUGCUGGGCCACAGUGAGCUGCAUGUUUUUGCACAGGAACCUCCACAUGUGACAGCAGCAGUCACUGUUUAACCCACAGAUGUGCUGGGUGACAGUCAGGACAGGACACUUGGAGGAGACUGUGAUCCAGCAGCAGUGGGAGGGAAGAGCCAUUCCCUCCUCCUUGCACGUGAGUUUGUGCCUUACAGCACAAGAAAAACAAAGGCUGUAACAUCCUUCUUGUUAAGCCUCUGCUUGUUCCAGCUUCUUGCUUUCUCCUAACUUGUUUUGCCUUCCUCAGGACAAAAUUUUCUUUUCCUUACACCAUGGAAGAAAUCCUCUGCCUCAUCCUCAACGAGGACCACAUCCAAAGGGAAUCCAGCCCAACCAUGCAAUUGGACCUCCCCACUGGCACCAGAGUAAUCUCCCUGAAUCAGAGACAGAACUGGACAUCAGCUGCUCUUUACAGCUCGAACCUGCUGCUGCUGCUCUGGCAAGGACUGCCAUGACUGAGGAUCUCCAUCACUUCUGCCUCUCUUCCUGGUCCAGCCCUGCACCCAUAGACCUGCUGCAGAGCAAAAGGUGCAGAAAGUCCUCUGUACAGUUUGAGGAAUCAUGUAAUGUGAAGAAAAAUCUGCUCUAGAAUGGAGGUGGGCUGCAAGGGACAUGGAGACAUCAGAGUGGCUAAAAUUGUAUUGCACUCCCACUCCCCUGCCAAUAAAAACACCAUAAAUAAAGUGGCUUUGCA
rnacentral:lncRNA from 1 species